CCUACGGGAGGCAGCAGUGGGGAAUAUUGGGCAAUGGGCGCAAGCCUGACCCAGCAACGCCGCGUGAAGGAAGAAGGCUUUCGGGUUGUAAACUUCUUUUCUGAGGGACGAAGAAAGUGACGGUACCUCAGGAAUAAGCCACGGCUAACUACGUGCCAGCAGCCGCGGUAAUACGUAGGGGGCAAGCGUUAUCCGGAUUUACUGGGUGUAAAGGGAGCGUAGACGGCGAUGCAAGUCUGAAGUGAAAGGCGGGGGCCCAACCCCCGGACUGCUUUGGAAACUGUAUGGCUGGAGUGCAGGAGAGGUAAGUGGAAUUCCUAGUGUAGGAGUGAAAUCCGUAGAUAUCUGGAGGAACAUCAGUGGCGAAGGCGACUAUCUGGCACAUAACUGACGCUGAGGAGCGAAAGCGUGGGUAGCAAACAGGAUUAGAUACCCGAGUAGUC
rnacentral:rRNA from 1 species